CUGCGACCCCAGGUCAGGCGGGACCACCCGCUGAGUUUAAGCAUAUCAAUAAG
rnacentral:rRNA from 1 species